rnacentral:rRNA from 1 species
UACGUAGGGUGCAAGCGUUGUCCGGAAUUUAUUGGGCGUAAAGAGCUCGUAGGCGGUCUGUCGCGUCGGCUGUGAAAUCCCGAGGCUCAACCUCGGGUCUGCAGUCGAUACGGGCAAACUGGAGUACUGCAGGGGAGACUGGAAUUCCUGGUGUAGCGGUGGAAUGCGCAGAUAUCAGGAGGAACACCGAUGGCGAAGGCAGAUCUCUGGGCCGUAACUGACGCUGAGGAGCGAAAAGCGUGGGGGAGCGAACAGG